AUGCGCGCACCCCGUGCUGCGGGGCCGUGUGGGACCCCCAAACGGGGCCACGCAGGGCUCGCAGCUGGUUCUGCAGCACGAUGCAGGACGGGCACACAGAGCUACGGGGCCGUGCAAGGUUUGCACCCUGUGCUGCGGGGCCGUGCAAGGCUCGCCAAUGGUGCCGCAGGGCACCGCAGCACCCGCACCCAGCGCUGCGGGGCCGGGCAGGACUCACACCCAGCACCAUGCGGGGCUGCGGCGGUGCAGACCCCUGCGAGACUCACCCCACACUGCGGGGCCACCUGGGACCCAGCUGCGGUGCCCUGCAGAGCAUCUCAGCCUGGUGCCACCCGUGCCUGCCGCCACACACCGACAACAGGGGCCCAGGAGCCCCUCCUAGCACCAUGUGGAGGGAGCCGGGAGGGGGGGGCCGGGGCGCCCCCUCCACCUGCCCCCACCGCUGUGGGUCCUAGCACCUCUCCAAGCACCCCGCGGCACCCACGGGUGCCCGCUCGCCACCAGCGCGGCUCGCUGCGAAUUACCAGCACCCCGCACCGAGCUGCCGGCGGCCCUCCAGCGACAGCCGGGGAGGGGGGGGUCCCAGGGGAUGGGCGGCCUGGCCCCCGCCCCCCCAUGCACAGGUGUCCCCCCUCCUCGGUGCCUUUCACAGUUACAGGAAGAGACGGCGACGGGGCCGGAGACCUCUCCGAGCCUCCCCGCGCCUUAGCACCAGUCCCUGCGCUCCCCCCCUGGCGGAGCCCCCUCUCCCUCACAGCACCGACCCCGGCCCCCCCCUAGCCUUGGGCUGGGCACGCACCCGCACCCUGCCCCGGCCCCCCGCAGCACCUAGAGCUGCCAGACAAAGUAGCACCAUCCACAGCACCGCCAGCACCUGCCUGCGCCCUGCCCGCACGCACCACGGCUCCCGGCCCCUGCGGCCACCGGCACCACCGAGGGGCUCGCUCCAAAAAACGCGCUCCAAAAAAAACGGCUCCUGGGGGGGCCGUGGCACACAGGCUCCUGCCCCGUCCCGGCCCCGCACUCGUGGGGCGUUAGCACCAGGGUCCGAGCCCCCUCCCCGCGGCCGCCCCCCCCCCCUGCUCCGCCUGCGUCCCUGCCUGCCUCCGCGCCGGCGCGUCCCGGACCUCAGCACCCUCAGGGCCACGUACGCAGAACAGCACCAGUACGUCGGGCCUGGGCGGCCGCCGAGGGAGGCGCUUCCUUUUGGGACAGAAAAAGGUUAUUGCAUGACUCGGGGUGGGGGCUUCCCGCCCCGGCCCCGCCGGCCGCCCCGGCCCCCCUCCCCGCGCAGCUCCGGAAAGGCCUGGCACGUAAGGCAACAUGGAAGCUGAUGUCUUGACUCACCCCGCUGUUUAAAAGCACCAUUAUGAAGUCAGGUUGUACAGUAGUAACAGUACCUUUUAUAUAUAUAUAUAUCUAUAUCUCAUAUCUAUCAUAUAUAUAUAAACUGUAAACAAGAGGUAACAGCGGCUUCUAGGGUUUUGCUUUCUUCAAGGUUUCCUGUGUGGUAGGCACCCAAAAUACUGUAGAAAAGGUGUGUGUUGUGGUGUGUUGUGUUCGUGGCUUCCCUGCCAGUUGGUUUUGCUCCAUAUCACCAGUGCAUGGUGCUGGUGGAAAAAAAAGAGUGAGGCUCAGUCGGUUGCGGAGCUGGCCGAGCGCCUCCCUGCGUUGUGCUCCCGGUCCCGGUCCCGGUCCCGGUCCCGUCUCCCUCGCCUCCGCCUCUCCCGGCUGGGCUUUCCCGCGGCCGUUUCCCCUCCUCCGAGAGCAGGGCUGGCGA
rnacentral:lncRNA from 1 species